rnacentral:rRNA from 1 species
CCUACGGGAGGCAGCAGUAAGGAAUAUUGGUCAAUGGACGCAAGUCUGAACCAGCCAUGCCGCGUGCAGGAUGAAGGCCCUCUGGGUUGUAAACUGCUUUUAUAGGGGACGAAAAAGGGACUUUCUAGUUCAACUGACGGUACCCUAGGAAUAAGCACCGGCUAACUCCGUGCCAGCAGCCGCGGUAAUACGGAGGGUGCAAGCGUUAUCCGGAUUUACUGGGUUUAAAGGGUGCGUAGGUGGGUCGGUAAGUCAGCGGUGAAAUCUUCGAGCUUAACUCGGAAACUGCCAUUGAUACUAUCGAUCUUGAAUCAUCUAGAGGUAAGCGGAAUAUGUCAUGUAGCGGUGAAAUGCUUAGAUAUGACAUAGAACACCAAUUGCGAAGGCAGCUUACUAUGGAUGUAUUGACACUGAGGCACGAAAGCGUGGGGAUCAAACAGGAUUAGAUACCCUGGUAGUCCACGCCCUAAACGAUGGAUACUCGACAUCAGCGAUACACUGUUGGUGUCUGAGCGAAAGCAUUAAGUAUCCCACCUGGAAGUACGAUCGCAGAUUGAAACUCAAAUGAAUUGACGG